rnacentral:rRNA from 1 species
AAACGACUCUCGGCAACGGAUAUCCCGGCUCUCGCAUCGAUGAAGAACGUAGCGAAAUGCGAUACUUGGUGUGAAUUGCAGAAUCCCGUGAACCAUCGAGUCUUUGAACGCAAGUUGCGCCUGAGGCCACCAGGCUGAGGGCACGUCUGCCUGGGUGUCACGC